rnacentral:rRNA from 1 species
CCGGGACCAUCCGGUAAGGCUAAAUACUCCCGAGAGACCGAUAGCGAACCAGUACCGUGAGGGAAAGGUGAAAAGCACUUCGAACAGAAGAGUGAAAUAGUUCCUGAAACCGUGCGCCUACAAGCGGUCGGAGCUCGUUAAUGAGUGACGGCGUGCCUUUUGCAUAAUGAACCUACGAGUUGCCUUUGCCGGCAAGGUUAAGUGUGACGACACACGUAUCCGAAGCGAAAGCGAGUCUGAACAGGGCGUAUAGUCGGCAGUGGCAGACGCGAAACCAAGUGAUCUACCCUUGGCCAGGUUGAAGGCUGGGUAACACCAGCUGGAGGACCGCACCAAUAAGCGUUGAAAAGCUUCUGGAUGAGCUGAGGGUAGGGGUGAAAGGCUAAUCAAACUUGGAGAUAGCUCGUACUCCCCGAAAUGCAUUUAGGUGCAGCCUUGCGGGUUACUGAUGUGAGGUAGAGCGACUGAUAAGAUGCGAGGGCUUCACCGCCUAUCAAGUCUUGACAAACUCCGAAUGCGCAUCAGUUCUACCGCAGGAGUGAGGGCAUGGGUGCUAAGGUCCGUGCCCGAGAGGAGAAGAAUCCGGACCACCUGCUAAGGUCCCGAAAUGACAGCUAAGUUAAACUAACGAAGUCUGACUGCUAAGACAGCUAGGAUGUUGGCUUGGAAGCAGCCAUUCAUUUAAAGAGUGCGUAACAGCUCACUAGUCGAGGAGUCGGGCGUGGAUAAUAAUCGGGUAUCAAGUUGUCUACCGAAGCAGUGGGAUCAUUAAUAUGAUCGGUAGGGGAGCAUUCCAGUCAGCGUCGAAGGCGUACCGUGAGGUAUUCUGGAGCGUCUGGAAAAGCAAAUGUAGGUAUAAGUAACGAUAAAGGGGGCGGGAAACCCCCUCGCCGAAAGACUAAGGUUUCCUGAUCAACGCUAAUCGGAUCAGGGUCAGUCGGGUCCUAAGGCUCAGCCGAACGGCGAUGCCGAUGGCAGAAACGGUUAAUAUUCCGUUACUACCUUCAGGAGUGACGUGGAGACGCAGUAGUGACAGUGCCGCCAUCUGACGGAAUAGAUGGUUGAAGGGUGUAGGAGUCGAUCAUGGCAGGCAAAUCCACCAUGAGAUCCGAACCUGACAGUAUGCCGCGUCCUUCGGGACAAGGCAAUAGUGCGCGUAAGCAUGCUGCCGAGAAAAUCCGCUAAACUUAAUCCUGCAGGUACCCGUACCGCAAACGGACACACGUAGUCGGGAUGAAUAUUCUAAGGCGCUUGAGUGAUUCACGGUUAAGGAACUAGGCAAACUGACCCUGUAACUUCGGGAUAAAGGGUCCCUACCCUUUUAUGGGAGGGCGCAGAGAAUCGGUCCAGGCAACUGUUUAACAAAAACACAGGGCUGUGCCAAAUCGAAAGAUCCAGUAUACAGCCUGACACCUGCCCGGUGCUGGAAGGUUAAGAGGAGAUGUCAUCGAUAAGAGAAGCGUUGAAUUGAAGCCCCAGUAAACGGCGGCCGUAACUAUAACGGUCCUAAGGUAGCGAAAUUCCUUGUCGGGUAAGUUCCGACCUGCACGAAUGGUGUAAUGAUCUGGACGCUGUCUCAACCGUGAGCUCAGUGAAAUUGUAGUAUCGGUGAAGAUGCCGAUUACCCGCGAUGGGACGAAAAGACCCCGUGAACCUUUACUAUAGCUUAUCAUUGAAUCUGGGCACGUGAUGUGUAGGAUAGGUCGGAGGCUUUGAAGCAGGUACGCCAGUAUUUGUGGAGCCGCUGUUGAAAUACGACCCUUUAUUUGUUUGGAUUCUAACCCGUGGAACGGGGACAUUGAUUGGUGGGUAGUUUGACUGGGGUGGUCGCCUCCAAAAGCGUAACGGAGGCUUCUAAAGGUGCCCUCCGGCCGAUUGGUAACCGGCCUUAGAGUGUAAUGGCAUAAGGGCGCUUGACUGGGAGACU